GACGAACGCUGGCGGCGUGCCUAAUACAUGCAAGUAGAACGCUGAAGAGAGGAGCUUGCUCUUCUUGGAUGAGUUGCGAACGGGUGAGUAACGCGUAGGUAACCUGCCUGGUAGCGGGGGAUAACUAUUGGAAACGAUAGCUAAUACCGCAUAAAAUUGAUUAUUGCAUGAUAAUUAAUUGAAAGAUGCAACUGCAUCACUACCAGAUGGACCUGCGUUGUAUUAGCUAGUUGGUGAGGUAACGGCUCACCAAGGCGACGAUACAUAGCCGACCUGAGAGGGUGAUCGGCCACACUGGGACUGAGACACGGCCCAGACUCCUACGGGAGGCAGCAGUAGGGAAUCUUCGGCAAUGGGGGGAAUCCUGACCGAGCAACGCCGCGUGAGUGAAGAAGGUUUUCGGAUCGUAAAGCUCUGUUGUAAGAGAAGAACGGGUGUGAGAGUGGAAAGUUCACACUGUGACGGUAUCUUACCAGAAAGGGACGGCUAACUACGUG
rnacentral:rRNA from 1 species